ACGGACAUAAGCGAUUCAUUUUGUGAGCCCUGGCCUACGGCGAGGUAGGCAUGCAUACCCAGCUCUUUCAUUUGUUGCUCGCCAAUCACGCGGGUAGCAACAUUCUGGCUAAAUGCAUCAGCAAGCUGGCGUGCCUGCGAGGCGAGAUAGGCGGCAUUACAAAUAUUCGGCGGCAUAUUGCUAAGAUCUUUGG
rnacentral:antisense_RNA from 1 species